GCUGCAGUAUAGUGGUGGAGG
rnacentral:misc_RNA from 1 species